CAGCAGCUGAAACAGCGGUUGGAGUGAGCUUGAGGAGCGGCAGCUGCCGAGAGGUAAGGGCGGAAGUGAGUGGCGGAAUAGGGGAGGGUGGCGCCUGCGUCUCCUCUGGUCGGUGGGCGACAGAGCGGCGGCCUAAUCCGGCGACUAGCUCAAACGCGUGAGCGAAGCUGGCCGGAGAAGGACGGGCCGCGGCGCGGCUCCGUCCACCUCCUGCUCUACCGCGAGGCGUCCGUCGCCUGCAACUCCAAACUACUCCUCUACCCCUACGGCGGCGGUGGUUAAGUUGUCCUUGUCCGUCGUAAUGGACGAUCAUAACGACAGCGCUCGAGUCCCCUGUAUGGUUAAGUUGUCUUUGUCCGUCGUAAGGGACGAUAAUUUGAACCACAGCGCUCGAGUCCCUUGUUGUUCUAAAAACUAGGUAGUUCACCGAAGUAGAACUGUACCUUGACGUAAAAGGAAAAAAGUACGAACGAACGAGAUAAGCAUCUGGGGGACAUGAAGAUGCACGGUUUUUAGCAGAUGCCGUGGGGGAUAAGUACACAGCCCUGUCUGUCCGUAAAUUGGUAGUAGCAAUGUAAUAAUGCUAGUUAAUGGCUAGAAAAUAUACGCUAAGUGUAGUAUGAUUUCAAGUCUUGACGUUAAAAAUUCUUCUCGAGUUGGAACCCCUAAAGAUUUCCUCCUAUAAAGCAGUCUCUGGGAUCUCUCUAACGUACCUUUAUAAACUCUAGACUGAAACGUUAACUACACCACCGACGUGACGGAAACGGUGUCUAGUAUCAGACCAUAAACUAUGGUCGAUAGUUUAUAAGGUUGCGACUCGGGUCGCUAUUGUAAGACCACGAAUAUCAAGAACGAGUCAUAGAAGGUUCUGAUAUAGAGUAUAAGGGAAAUUGAAUACUUUAAUAGUUUCGAUGACUUCAACAACGUUUCUGACGGACCGUUCCCCGACAUAUGUCGGACAACGAAAUGUACUAUUGAUCAGUACAUGAUCCACGUCAUACCAUGAACGAUAGGCAACUAGCGGUUUGUCGGACGACCUUUUACUCAACGUCCUUACUUUGACCCACACUAUAAUCCAUGGAUCUAACACUAUACCGUGGUUUAGUCUUUACCCGAUCAUGCUGACUAUAGAAGGUAUCGACGUUACGAUCACUAUGGUCGUAGUGUAAGCUGAUACCGUACAAGGACGGACGUGACAGUUUAGAUCACGGACGAGUCCCAAAGAACUAUUUCGAGAAGAUAAGGGAAACCACCCCAAAUGUCUUAGAUUCAACGAUACCGGUCUGAUAAAGACAAUCGUGGAUGUAACCACUCUGUGACAAGCCAUAUAAGAACCGUCAUAAGUCAGAACGGAACCUUAGUAGGCCGGACCAGAACACACACAUAAACUAACCUUUACACGUCUGGAGGGAGGUUAGAUAGUGACACUCCCUCCUACUCACCUCUAAUUUCGUUUCUCUAUGCCUCCUCACCUACUGUAUGGCAGUUGAAGGACCACUUGACGCCCUUUCUCAAUCUUUUAAAUAAGUCAUGUUCACCGAAAAUUGAGCUCCACACCUACUUCUCAUAUAUAAAGUCCAAGAUGGUCUCAUAGACGCUGCACUUUAUUCUGCGGUGGAAACGAACCUAGAACAAGCGGCCCAAGGCAAAAAGACGGUCUACCUACUGGUUGAAGAUCUACGGUAGAAACGCGCAGAACAUAGUAGUGGCACGUGUUUCUCGUGUAUGUAAUAGGCACUCCCACUAGGCCACUGACUCUACGAGAAGUAGUAGGCACCCUUUGACCUUUCCCGGUGUUGUCUACCACCAGCGUGUCCGAAGAAGUUAAGUCAAGAGGACUUUAGACCACUAACGACGCCGCUCCUUGAAGAACCUACCUGAAAAUAGGGCCUUGGAUGGUCAAACGGUUGUCGGUGGACGUGUCACUUCCGCGAGUGUCUGCACCUCCGGAAAAGUGAAGUCCGACUCCUAGAGUCCAAGCACCGGUCGGUUAAGCCCGCCACCGUAUCGUUCUUCGACGUCGUGUGAAAGGCGAUGAUGAGUGGGGUAACCUCUUGUACCUCACGCACGAAGUAGGUUCGACGAAACGCCGCCAUGUACUCCUCUUUCUACCUCUUCCCGGACUCUAGUCUUCUGAGCUUACCACUUCUUCCCGGAGGUGCCUUCUUAUUAGAGAUUCUUACUACCGGCACUUUUAUUACCGACCCUUGAAAUUUCCCGAAGUCCGGUAUUUUCUGGACAGAUGUGAUUUCUUCGGCCUCCUCCUCGGUCUAAAGGGUCGACUUGGAAUACAUAUUCCAUCAUUGAAUAUAGGACAGGUAUUGCCUGUGACUAGGACGAUCGAGACGACGGUCAAUCAGUCAGAAACGGCGUACCUCCCCUGGCAUUAGGCCAAUCUUAAUCCUAAGUGUCUUGGCCGGCAACUAGACUCCUACGAUCCUCUACGAUUAAUGAGAUGCAACAUGUAAGUCUACAUAGACACAAACAUUGUAGUAACCGUGCGCGGCGAUACGACUGACGGUCUCAAGAUUGCAACUUCGGUAUCAGACUGGAACGAUAAGAACAAAUUCCAUACUCGCUGAGGUGAAGCAAUAGUCGUCGAGACUACGUCUCCGACCCCUGUUAGAAGGAAAAGAUAAAUAAAUUUUUUUUGAAACUAUAGUCGUAGUAAAUCCAAGACCUAUACGAAAGGUAAUGCGAAAGUUAUUGCGAUAUACGACAAUGUCACCGUCGUCACUGGAUACCUCCUAAACCUGCUGUUUAAACUUUGGACACGACCGUUAGUAUAAAUCACCGGCUCACGCCUCCGGCCCGAUACGUACGCACUUAGAUGAAUUCCAACAUUAUUUCGUACAAAUAAACGUUCUCUCUAUCUCUCCUUUUUCUGUCCGACGCACUCCAUCGUCCGUGGUUUUAAGGACACAAGAAGACAAGAACACACGCUCCACACACUUUAUCGACUCUCCUUUUUCUUCCCUCGCCCGAUAAUCGAGGUUGUUUCGUAGUAACUUCCAACAGCAAAUAGACGUUUACCCGCGUUAAAAAAUCGCCGUUUUCAUGUACGUUAAAAAGUCGUCGUUCUUAAUAAAAACGUUAAAAUGGUGAUAAAAGAUGGUACUAAGGAUUACAAAAUAUAGACAUAUUCUCGUGCCUUUUUUCUAGACCGGUGUUUAGGAGUAGGUUCUAUACAGUACGAUAACAAACGUCAAACCAAGUACAAGGAACCAAACCUUGAUGAUUACUG
rnacentral:rRNA from 1 species